ensembl:lncRNA
AAAGUUUUUAAAAGACUUUAAAACUAUCAACCUUUUGUGGUAAUUUCUGUUUUUGUCUUGGUUGUUGUGCUUUCUGUAGUUGUGGUUUCCAUGGUUGUACUUUCUGAAGUUGUGAUACCUGGGGUGGUAAUUUCUUUUGUAGUGAUUUCUGUUGUUGUGGUCUCUAUUGUUGUACCUUCUGGAGUGGUUGAGCCAGUGGUUGUACUUUCUGUCGCUGUCGUGCUUUCUGGAGUUGUGGUACCGGUUGUGGUGCUUUCUGUUGUGGUCUCGGUCGUUUUGCUUUCCGGUGUUGUGGUACUGGUUGUGGUGCUUUCUGGUGUUGUGGUACCUGUGGUAGUGCUUUCUGUUGUUGUAGUGUCUGUUGUGGUGAUUUCUGUUGUUGUGGUCUCUGUUGUGGUCUCGGUUGUUGUGCUUUCGGGUGUUGUAGUGUCUGUUGUGGUGCUUCCUGUUGUUGUGGUCUCUGUUGUUGUACUUUCUGAAGUGGUGGUGCCAGUUUUUGUACUUUCUGUCAUUGUGGUGCUUUCUGGAGUUGUGGUACCGGUUGUGCUGCUUUCUGUUGUUGUGGUCUCUGUUGUGGUGCUUUUUGGUGUUGUGGUACCUGUGGUGGUACUUUCUAGUGUUGCGGUACCUGUGGUAGUGCUUUCUGUUGUUGUAGUGUGGGUUGGGGUGCUUUCCGUAGUUGUGGUUUCCAUUGUUGUACUUUCGGAAGGUGAAAUACCAGGGGUCGUACUUUCUGCUGUAGUGCUUUCUGUUGUUGUGGUCUCUGUUGUUGUACUUUCUGAAGAGGUGGUGCCAGUGGUUGUACUUUCUGUCGUUGGGGUGCUCUCUGGUGCUGUGGUACCUGUAGUGGUGCUUUCUGGUGUUGUGGUACCUGUGGUUGUGCUUUCUGUUGUUGUAGUGUCUGUUGUGGUGCUUUCUGUUGUUGUGGUCUCUGCUGUGGUCUCGGCUGUUGUGCUUUCUGGUGUUGUGGUUCCUGUAGUGGUGCUUUCUGGUGUUGUGGUACCUGUGGUUGUGCUUUCUGUUGUUGUAGUGUCUGUUGUGGUGCUUUCUGUUGUUGUGGUCUCUGCUGUGGUCUCGGCUGUUGUGCUUUCUGGUGUUGUGGUUCCUGUAGUGGUGCUUUCUGGUGUUGUGGUGCCUGUGGUCGUGCUUUCUGUUGUUGUAGUGUCUGCUGUGGUGCUUUCUAUAAGUGUGGUUUCCAUUGUUGUACUUUCUGAAGUUGUAAUACCAGGGGUGGUACUUUCUGAAGUGGUGGUGCCAGUUGUUGUACUUUCUGUCAUUGUGGUGCUUUCUGGAGUUGUGGUACCGUUUGUGGUGCUUUCUGUUGUUGUGGUCUCUGUUGUAGUGCUUUCUGGUGUUGUGGUACCUGUGGUCGCUCUUUCUGUUGUUGUGGUGCUUUCUGUAGUUGUGGUUCCCAUUGUUGUACUUUUCGAAGUUGUAAUACCAGGGGUUGUACUUUCUGUCAUUGUGGUGCUCUCUGGUGUUGUGGUACCUGUAGUGCUGCUUUCUGGUGUUGUCGUACCUGUGGUCGUGAUUUCUGUUGUCGUAGUGUCUGUUGUGGUACUUUCUGUAGUUGUUGUUUCCAUUGUUGUACUUUCUGAAGUUAUAAUACCAGGGGUCGUACUUUCUGUUGUAGUGCUUUCUGUUGUUGUGGUCUCUGUUGUUGUGCUUUCUGGUGUUAUGGUACCUGUGGACAUGCUUUCUGGAGUUGUGGUACCUGUGGUGGUGCUUUCUGUUGUUGUGCUCUCUGUUGUUGUACUUUUUGGAGUGGUUGUGCCAGAGGUUGUACUUUCUGUCACUGUGGUGCUUUCUGUAGUUGUAGUACCGGUUGUGGUCCUUUCUGUUGUUGUGGUCUCGGUUGUUUUGCUUUCUGGUGUUGUGGUUCCCAUUUUUGUACUUUCUGAAGUUGUAAUACCAGGGGUGAUACUUUCUGUUGUAGUGCUUUCUGUUGUUGUGGUCUCUGUUGUUGAACUUUCUGAAGUAGCGGUGCCAGUGGAUGUACUUUCUGUCAUUUUGGUGCUUUCUGGGGUUGUGGUACCGGUUGUGGUGCUUUCUGUUGUCGUGGUCUCUGUUGUGGUCUCGGUUGUCGUGCUCUCUGGAGUUGUGAUACCUGUGGUGGUGCUUUCUGUUGUUGUUGUACUUACUGGAGUGGUUGUGCCAGUGGUUGUACUUUCUGUCACUGUGGUGCUUUCUGGAGUUGUGGUACUGGUUGUGGUGCUUUCUGUUGUUGUGGUCUCGGUUGUUGUACUUUCUGGUGUUGUGGUACUUAUGGUCGUGCUUUCUGGUGUUGUGGUACCUGUGGUGGUGCUUUCUGGUGUUGUGGUACCAGUUGUUGUGCUUUCUGUUGUUGUGUUCUCAGUUAUUGUGCUUCCUGGUGUUGUGGUAGCUGUGGUGGUGCUUUCUGUUGUUAUAGUUUCUGUUGAGGUGCUUUCUUUAGUUGUGGUUUCCAUUGUUGUACUUUCUGAAGUUGUAAUACUAGGUGUGGUACUUUCUGUUGUAGUGCUUUCUGUUGUUGUUUUCUCUGUUGUUGUACUUUCUGGAGUGGUUGUACUUUCUGUCACUGUGGUGCUUUCUGUUGUUGUGCUUUCUGGAGUUGUUUUACCGGUUGUUGUUCUUUCUGGUGUUGUGGAACCUGUGUUGGUGCUUUCUGGUGUUGUGGUACCUGUGGUGCUGCUUUCUGUUGUUGUAGUGUCUGUUGUGGUGCUUUCUGUAGUUCUGGUUUCCAUUGCUGUACUUUCUGAAGUUGUAAUAACAGGGGUGGUACUUUCUGUUGUGGUGCUUUCUGUUGUUGUACUUUCUGAAGUGGUGGUGCCAGUGGUUGUACUUCCUAUCAUUUUUGUGCUUUCUGGAGUUGUGGUACCGGUUGUGGUGCUUUCUGUUGUCAUGGUCUCUGUUGUAGUCUCGGUAGUGGUGCUCUCUGGUGUUGUGGUACCUGUGGUCAUGCUUUCUGGAGUUGUGGUACCUGUGGUGGUGCUUUCUGUUUUUGUGGUCUCUGUUGUUGUACUUUCUGGUGUUGUGGUACCUGUGGUGGUGCUUUCUGGAGUUGUGGUACCGGUUGUUGUGCUUUCUGUUGUUGUGGUUUCUAUUGUGGGCUCGGUUAUUGUGCCUCCUGGUGUUGUGGUCGCUGUGGUGGUGCUUUCUGGUGUUAUAGUUUCUUUUGUGGUGCUUUCUUUAGUUGUGGUUUCCAUUGUUGUACUUUCUGAAGUUGUAAUACUAGGUGUGGUACUUUCUGUUGUAGUGCUUUCUGUUGUUGUUUUCUCUGUUGUUGUACUUUCUGGAGUGGUUGUACUUUCUGUCACUGUGGUGCUUUCUGUUGUUGUGCUUUCUGGAGUUGUUUUACCGGUUGUUGCACUUUCUGGUGUUGUCGUACCUGUGGUGAUGCUUUCUGGUGUUUUGGUACCUGUGGUGGUGCGUUCUGUUGUUGUAGUGUCUGUUGUGGUGCCUUCUGUAGUUCUGGUUUCCAUUUCUGUACUUUCUGAAGGUGUAAUAACAGUGGUGGUACUUUCUGUUGUAGUGCUUUCUGUUGUUGGGGUCUCUGUUGUUGUACUUUCUGAAUUGAUGGUGCCAGUGGUUGUACUUUCUGUCAUUGUGGUGCUUUCCAGAGUUGUGAUACCGGUUGUGGUGCUUUCUGUUGUCGUGGUCUCUGUUUUGGUCUCAGUUGUGGUGCUUUCUGAUGUUGUGGUACCUGUGGUGGUGCUUUCUGGUGUUGUGGUACCUGUGGUGGUGCUUUCUGUUGUUGUAGUGUCUGUUGUGGUGCUUUCUGUAGUUGUGCUUUCCAUUGUUUUACUUUCUGAAGUUGUAAUACUAGGGGUGGUACUUUCUGUUGUGGUGCUUUCUGUUGUUGUACUUUCUGAAGUGGUGGUGCCAGUGGUUGUACUUUCUGUCAUUGUUGUGCUUUCUGGUUUUGUGGUACCUGUGGUGGUGCUUUCUGUUGUUGUAGUGUCUGUUGGGGUACUUUCUGUAGGUGUGGUUUCCAUUAUUGUACUUUCUGAAGUUGUAAUACCAGGGGUUUUGCUUUCAGUUGUAGUGCUUUCUUUUGUUGUGGUUUCUGCUGUUAAACCUUCUGGAGUGGUUAUGCCAAUGGUUGUACUUUCUGUCAUUGUGGUGCUUUUGGGAAUUGUGGUACCCGUGGUGAUGCUUUCUGUUGUGAUAUCAGCUAUGGUACCUGUGGUGGUACUUUGUAUUGUUUUGGUCUCGGUUGUUGUCCCGGGGGUGGUACUUUCUGUUGUUGUUGUUGUUGUUUCCGUUGUUCUGCUUUCUGGAGUGGUUGUGCCAGUGGUUGUAAUUUUUGUCACUGUGGUGCUUUCUGG